CCUACGGGUGGCUGCAGUGGGGAAUAUUGGACAAUGGGCGAAAGCCUGAUCCAGCCAUGCCGCGUGUGUGAAGAAGGCCUUCGGGUUGUAAAGCACUUUCAGUGGGGAAGAAAGCCUUGGGGCUAAUACCCUCGAGGAAGGACAUCACCCACAGAAGAAGCACCGGCUAACUCCGUGCCAGCAGCCGCGGUAAUACGGAGGGUGCGAGCGUUAAUCGGAAUUACUGGGCGUAAAGCGCGCAUAGGCGGUCUGAUAAGCCGGUUGUGAAAGCCCCGGGCUCAACCUGGGAACGGCAUCCGGAACUGUCAGGCUAGAGUGCAGGAGAGGAAGGUAGAAUUCCCGGUGUAGCGGUGAAAUGCGUAGAGAUCGGGAGGAAUACCAGUGGCGAAGGCGGCCUUCUGGACUGACACUGACGCUGAGGUGCGAAAGCGUGGGUAGCAAACAGGAUUAGAUACCCUGGUAGUC
rnacentral:rRNA from 1 species